AAUUUUUUUAAGUAGUAAAGGCUACUUUUCAGAGUGCUACUGGAUAAAGGCAUCAUCAUAAUAACAUUUUGAACUAAGUAUUAUUCUCAUUAUUCCCAUUUUAAAAGAGUGGAGUAAGGCCCAGAGAGCUCCAUCAACUUGCCCAAGGGCACACAGCUAGUCAGUGGUGGAGCCAGGAUUGGAAUGCAGGCAGGCUCCAAGCCUGUAUUCUGAACCACAGCUCCCUGUUGCCCUCAAGCUCGCUCAUCCUGCAGGGCCCUGGCUCUCACUCCCCUGCCAUCUGGGAAGCUGCUAUGAGAGGAGAGGUGAUGUUGCAGGGAGCUGUGAACCCUAGGAACCCACAGCUCUAGCCCCUGGCUCUGUAGCCUUGGGGGCAUGUGCUCUGGGUAAAGUAAGCACUGCUGGCAUGUGUGGCCAGGGGAGGAGAUGGAACAUCAGAGGCUAUUUGACGGAGAAAGAAUCCCCUCUGAUCAUCAGAGGAGUAUUUGCCCCUGAGAUGUGAGCCGUGUCCGGAGUUCCUGGAAAUUCAAGGAGUGUCCCCUCCUUCGCUGCUGGCACGCUGUGGAUCUGCUUUAUUUUCAAUUCUGCUUCAUUCCUUCACUUCUUUAGAAAAUUCAUCACCUUGCAUUCUGACCCUCACACACCUAUGUAGCCCCUGCUUCUUAGAAAACACCCCAAGACACAGGUGACGUGCUGGCCUGAGCAGGACUCUUCUGUCUGCCACUGUGUCCCAUAUACGUUCCUGGUAAGUAUCAGAGCCCAGGGAAGAGUCUGAUUCUCAACGAAGCCCCCGCUACAUGGCGGGGGGCAGGUGCCAAGACACACCUUGAGCCCUCAAGGAGCUCAAGUGAGAAAACCACUAAACCACAUAAGGCAGGUGGAUUUCAGGUUUAAGGGCAGAUGUGCAGAGUGUUUGAGGGGCCCAGAGUAGUGAGGGGCUUCCUAGGUUCAGCUUCCAGCUCCUCUACCACCAGCUACGUGAACCUGAACAGCCUGCAGUAGGCAGAAUAACGCCCUCUCCCUCUCCGCAUCCCACCAAAGAGGCCCGCAUUUCAUCCCUGGACCCUGUGAAUAUGCCAUUGUGGGUGGCAGUGGAGAAUCAAGGUUGCCAAUCAAUGGACCUUAAGCCAGGGAGAUUGUCCUGGGUUCUCUGCAUGGGCCCAAAGUAAUCACGCUGGUCCUGAAAAGUGGAAGAGGGAGGCGGGAGGCACAGUCAGAAUGAUACGGUGCGAGAAGGGCUCAACUCAUUUACUCCUGGCCUUUGAAGGUGGAGGCAGACAUAGGAUGAGAGAUGCAGGCAGUCUCUAGAAGCUGGAAAAGGCAAAGACACAGAUCCACCCUAGAGCCUCUGGAGAAGCGGACCCUCUGACUUUAGCCCAGGGAGACUCACACUAGACGCCUGACCUCCAGAAGGGUGUGCAGCAGCUUCAUGUGGAAUCCCAGUUCCAGACCAGGGAUUGAACUCGGGCUCCAGCAGUAAAAGAACUGAGUCCUAGCACUAGACCACCAGGGAACUCCCUCCUCUAGCUCUAGGCUAAUGGCCCUCAAGAGGACCGUGUGCCCCCACCUCCACACACACACACACACACACACGACCCAGCAGUACAGUCCACAGAAAAGCAUGCAGGAUUUGGAGUUGGCAAAAGACAAACAUACCAACCACUGCCCAGAAUGAGCUNUUUUUUUUUUGGUCUUUUUUUGCCAUUUUUGGGGCUGCUCCCAUGGCAUAUGGAGGUUCCCAGGCUAAGGGUUGAAUCGGAGCUGUAGCCCCCAGGGUACGCCAGAGCCACAGCAAUGCCGGAUCCAUAACACACUGAGCAAGGCCAGGGAUCGAACCCGCAACCUCAUGGUUCCUAGUCAGAUUCGUUAACCAUUGAACCACGAUGGGAACUCCAGUGAGUUAGUAGCUUAAUCACGCUCUGCGAGGUCUCCUAGAAAACAGGGUUAGAACUCAUGCCCGGCAAUGACACAGGGGUGUUAAGAGGAUCAGAUGAGGGGUUUUAUGAGAUGGCACCCUGAAAAUUAUGAAGAGCAAUCCUCUAAAGGGAGUGUUCUCUGUCCAUUCACAGCAGCACAAAAUAACAAGGGUACAAGAUUUCUCUGAACCACAGAUGGUCAACUACCCAGUUAUACCCUCCUGCUGAAUCCACACAAAUUACAGAGGAGAAAUAAAACUCACUGGCUUAACCUCU
rnacentral:lncRNA from 1 species